rnacentral:piRNA from 1 species
UGAUAGGUCUAGCUUCACACGAGCAG